UACGUAGGGGCGAGCGUUAUCCGGAAUUAUUGGGCGUAAAGGGUUCGCAGGCGGCCUUGUAAGUCAGAUGUGAAGGACAGCGGCUUAACCGUUGUAAGCAUUUGAAACUGCAGGGCUUGAGUACAGGAGAGGAAAGCGGAAUUCCUAGUGUAGCGGUGAAAUGCGUAGAUAUUAGGAGGAACACCAGUGGCGAAGGCGGCUUUCUGGACUGAUACUGACGCUGAGGAACGAAAGCGUGGGGAUCAAACAGGAUUAGAUACCCUGGUAGUCCCU
rnacentral:rRNA from 1 species